rnacentral:rRNA from 1 species
GUUAGUCUAUGUCAUACUUCCAAGAAAAGCUUGCACUGUCAGAAACAGAUAAUGCCUGUACCAUAACCGACACAGGUGGGUAGGUAGAGUAUACUAAGGGGCGCGAGAUAACUCUCUCUAAGGAACUCGGCAAAAUGACUCCGUAACUUCGGGAGAAGGAGUGCCUUAUUUUUAAGGUUGCAAUAACAAGAUCCAAGCAACUGUUUACCAAAAACACAGGUCUCCGCUAAGUCGUAAGACGAUGUAUGGGGGCUGACGCCUGCCCAGUGCCAGAAGGUUAAAGAAGUCGGUUAGCAUUCGCGAAGCUGGUAACUGAAGCCCUGGUGAACGGCGGCCGUAACAAUAACGGUCCUAAGGUAGCGAAAUUCCUUGUCGGGUAAGUUCCGACCCGCACGAAAGGCGUAAUGAUUUGGAUACUGUCUCGGAGAGGGGCUCGGUGAAAUAGACUUGUCUGUGAAGAUGCGGACUACCUGCACCUGGACAGAAAGACCCUAUGAAGCUUUACUGUAACUUGAAAUUGAAAUUGGACUCUAUUUGCGCAGUAUAGGUGGGAGGCGUUGAAAAUAUUCUUGCGGGAAUAUUGGAGCCAUCAGUGAGAUACCACUCUUGUAAUGUUAGAUUUCUAACUUUAUAUCAUUAUCUGGUUAAAGAACAGUUUCAGGCGGGCAGUUUGACUGGGGCGGUCGCCUCCCAAAUGGUAACGGAGGCGCACAAAGGUUUCCUCUGAACGGGUAGAAAUCGUAUCUAGAGUGUAAAGGCAUAAGGAAGCUUGACUGUGAGACCUACAAGUCGAGCAGGGACGAAAGUCGGUCUUAGUGAUCUGACGGUGCUGAGUGGAAAGGCCGUCACUCAACGGAUAAAAGUUACUCUAAGGAUAACAGGCUGAUCUCCCCCAAGAGUUCACAUCGACGGGGAGGUUUGGCACCUCGAUGUCGGCUCAUCGCAUCCUGGGGCGGUAGUACGUCCCAAGGGUUGGGCUGUUCGCCCAUGAAAGCGGUACGCGAGCUGGGUUCAGAACGUCGUGAGACAGUUCGGUCCAUAUCCGGUGUAGGCGUUAGAAUAUUGAGAGGAGCCUUCUUUAGUACGAGAGGACCGAGAAGGACAUACCUCUGGUGUACCAGUUAUCGUGCCAACGGUAAACGCUGGGUAGCUAUGUAUGGAGUGGAUAAUCGCUGAAAGCAUCUAAGUGGGAAGCCCACCUCAAGAUAAGUAUUCUCAGC